rnacentral:rRNA from 1 species
UACAGAGGUGGCGAGCGUUGUUCGGAUUCAUUGGGCGUAAAGGGUCCGUAGGCGGCUUGGAAAGUCGGAUGUGAAAUCCCACGGCUUAACCGUGGAACUGCAUUCGAAACUUCCAGGCUCGAGCCGAGGAGGGGUGAAGGGAAUUCCCGGUGUAAGGGUGAAAUCUGCAGAGAUCGGGAGGAACACCAGUCGCGAAGGCGCUUCACUAGCCUCGUGCUGACGCUCAGGGACGAAAGCCAGGGGAGCAAACGGG